UAUCGCCGGUCAUUGAUCGGUGAGGAGCCCCGGUUUGGGCAUCGUGGUGGGAGUUCUCAUCUCACGGGUGGAGGGUUUGUUUUUAUUCGUUACGGAAAUGAACGUGUGAAUGAACGCGAGGGGAAGGACUGGCACGCAUCUCCUCAAGGCAUUUCAUGACCCAACUGAAUAACAUCAUCAGUGCUACUAAGGAGUGAGGUUUGCUUUGGAAUUAUUUAAAUUUCCUACAGCAUGGCAUUACUUUCCUGCAAUAUUUUAUCUCUGGUCAGCUUUUCUCUCUACAGCAGGGAAAAAUGAUGUUGCAAUCCCAUUUUGGGACAGCUGAAGAAAACAGAACCCUGGUGAUGGAAAGCAGCAUCCCUGGCCCAUCAUUGUGGAACAAAGCCAACUCUUCUUUGGAAACAAGUUUAUUGAUUGAAAUCCAAAUUCGGGAUUAAACACACACAAAAAAAUCUGGAGGAAAGGAGA